rnacentral:rRNA from 1 species
UAAUGUAUGGGGAUCUGCCCGAUAGAGGGGGAUAACUACUGGAAACGGUGGCUAAUACCGCAUAAUGUCUCGGACCAAAGCAGGGGCUCUUCGGACCUUGCACUAUCGGAUGAACCCAUAUGGGAUUAGCUAGUAGGUGGGGUAAAGGCUCACCUAGGCGACGAUCUCUAGCUGGUCUGAGAGGAUGAUCAGCCACAUGGGACUGAGACACGGCCCAG